GUGAAAUUGUUGAAAGGGAAACGCUUGAAGUCAGUCGCGUUGAUUAGGACUCAGCCUUGCUAUUGCAUGGUGUACUUCCUCUUAAACGGGUCAACAUCAAUUUUGGCUGGUGGAUAAAGGUUGAGGGAAUGUGGCAUCCUUGGAUGUGUUAUAGCCUUCUUCCGUAUACACUGGCUGGGAUUGAGGUCUGCAGCACGCCUUUAUGGCCGGGGUUCGCCCACGUAUCGUGCUUAGGAUGUUGGCAUAAUGGCUUUAAGCGACCCGUCUUGAAACACGGACCAAGGAGUCUAACAUGCUUGCGAGUAUUAGAGUGGAAAACUCUUAUGCGUAAUGAAAGUGAAAGUUGGGACUCUUCGCAGAGGCACCGACGCCCGGCUCUGAAGUUUACUGACGAUGCUGCGGUAGAGCACGUAUGUUGGGACCCGAAAGAUGGUGAACUAUGCCUGAAUAGGGUGAAGCCAGGGGAAACUCUGGUGGAGGCUCGUAGCGAUUCUGACGUGCAAAUCGAUCGUCAAAUUUGGGUAUAGGGGCGAAAGACUAAUCGAACCAU
rnacentral:rRNA from 1 species